GCGUUAGGUCGAUUUUCCACGGGCCUUCUAAGCCUGAGGUCGGGGGUUCGAGCCCCUCCUGCCGCGCCA
rnacentral:tRNA from 1 species